UACAGAGGGUGCAAGCGUUGCUCGGAAUUAUUGGGCGUAAAGGGUAGGUAGGUGGUCUUAUUUGUCUAGGGUGAAAUCCUUGAGCUUAACUCAAGAAGUGCCUUAGAAACGGUAAGACUAGAGUCUUGGAGAGGGUCGUGGAAUUCCCGGUGUAGCGGUGAAAUGCGUAGAGAUCGGGAGGAACACCAGAGGCGAAGGCGGCGACCUGGACAAGUACUGACACUCAACUACGAAAGCGUGGGUAGCAAACAGG
rnacentral:rRNA from 1 species